GGAGAGGUGGCAGAGUACGGUCGAAUGUGCCUCCCUGCUAAGGAGGUGACCUCGUAAGGGGUCCGUGGGUUCAAAUCCCACCCUCUCCG
rnacentral:tRNA from 1 species